GACGGAGGGGGCAAGCGUUGUUCGGAAUUAUUGGGCGUAAAGAGCUCGUAGGCGGUGUGUCGCGUCGGCCGUGAAAACCUGCAGCUUAACUGUGGCUUGCGGUCGAUACGGGCAUCACUGGAGUUCGGCAGGGGAGACUGGAAUUCCUGGUGUAGCGGUGAAAUGCGCAGAUAUCAGGAGGAACACCGGGUGGCGAAGGCGGGUCUCUGGGCCGAUACUGA
rnacentral:rRNA from 1 species